rnacentral:rRNA from 1 species
UGGCGAACGGGUGGGUAACGCGUGAGGAACCUGCCUCAAAGAGGGGGACAACAGUUGGAAACGACUGCUAAUACCGCAUAAGCCCACAGGUCGGCAUCGACCAGAGGGAAAAGGAGCAAUCCGCUUUGAGAUGGCCUCGCGUCCGAUUAGCUAGUUGGUGAGGUAACGGCCCACCAAGGCAACGAUCGGUAGCCGGACUGAGAGGUUGAACGGCCACAUUGGGACUGAGACACGGCCCAG